rnacentral:rRNA from 1 species
UACGUAGGGUGCAAGCGUUACUCGGAAUUACUGGGCGUAAAGCGUGCGCAGGCGGUGAUGUAAGACAGGUGUGAAAUCCCCGGGCUUAACCUGGGAACUGCAUUUGUGACUGCAUCGCUGGAGUGCGGCAGAGGGGGAUGGAAUUCCGCGUGUAGCAGUGAAAUGCGUAGAUAUGCGGAGGAACACCGAUGGCGAAGGCAAUCCCCUGGGCCUGCACUGACGCUCGUGCACGAAAGCGUGGGGAGCAAACAGG